rnacentral:rRNA from 1 species
ACUAACCAGGAUUCCCUUAGUAGCGGCGAGCGAACAGGGAAAAGCCCAGCACCGAAUCCCGCGCCCGCAGGCGCCGGGAAAUGUGGUGUUUGGGAGGGUCCGACAUCCCGGGGCCCGGUCGACAGGUCCAAGUCCCUCUUGAACGGGGCCAUUCACCCACAGAGGGUGCCAGGCCCGUAGGACCGUCGCCGGCCGCGGGAGGAUCCCUCCUCAGAGUCGGGUUGCUUGAAAAUGCAGCCCUAAGCGGGUGGUAAACUCCAUCUAAGGCUAAAUAUCACCACGAGACCGAUAGCGAACAAGUACCGUGAGGGAAAGUUGAAAAGAACUUUGAAGAGAGAGUUCAAUAGUACGUGAAACCGUUCAGGGGUAAACCUGAGAAACCCGAAAGGUCGAUGGAGGGAGAUUCAGCGCGUCUCGGACGCCGGAGCGCGGCGGACGCACGACGGACUUCGCUCGCGUCGUCCGCGUCGCCCGCCCCUGCCGUCGCCGAACGCGUGCACUUCUCCCUCGGUAGGACGUCGCGACCCGUUGGGGGCCGGCCCACGGCCCGCGGUGGAGCCCGCGCGUCGCGUUUCGGCGCGACGCUCGGACCCGCGGUGCCCCGGCCGGCCGGCCGACGGUACGAUCAAGGCGCGGGGCCGCGACCAGUUCGCGCCCGGCCCGUCGCUCACGCGACGGUGCCCUCGGGCAGACCCCGUCAGCCGGUCGGCGGCGCUAUAGCUUUGGGUACUUUCAGGACCCGUCUUGAAACACGGACCAAGGAGUCUAGCAUGUGCGCGAGUCAUUGGGACUAGCGAAACCUAAAGGCGCAAUGAAAGUGAAGGCCCGCCCUGAGCGGGCCGAGGGCGGAUGGGCGGCGGCACGCCGCCGCCCCGCACGCCCGGGGCGUCCCGAUCUCAUCGCGAGAUGAGGGCGCACCCAGAGCGUACACGCUGGGACCCGAAAGAUGGUGAACUAUGCCUGGUCAGGACGAAGUCAGGGGAAACCCUGAUGGAGGUCCGUAGCGAUUCUGACGUGCAAAUCGAUCGUCGGAACUGGGUAUAGGGGCGAAAGACUAAUCGAACCAUCUAGUAGCUGGUUCCCUCCGAAGUUUCCCUCAGGAUAGCUGGCGCUCGCUUUGCGAGUCUCAUCCGGUAAAGCGAAUGAUUAGAGGCAUUGGGGUCGAAACGGCCUCAACCUAUUCUCAAACUUUAAAUGGGUGAGAUCUCCGGCUUGCUCGAACGGUGAAGCCGCGAGACCUCGGAUCAGAG